GGGGAUUUGGCUCAGUGGUAGAGCGCUUGCCUAGGAAGCGCAAGGCCCUGGGUUCGGUCCCCAGCUCCCCCC
rnacentral:tRNA from 1 species